rnacentral:rRNA from 1 species
AACGAACGCUGGCGGCAGGCUUAACACAUGCAAGUCGAACGGUAACAGGCCGCAAGGUGCUGACGAGUGGCGAACGGGUGAGUAAUGCGUCGGAACGUGCCCAGUCGUGGGGGAUAACGCAGCGAAAGCUGCGCUAACACCGCAUACGAUCUAUGGAUGAAAGCGGGGGACCGUAAGGCCUCGCGCGAUUGGAGCGGCCGAUGUCAGAUUAGGGAGUUGGUGGGGUAAAGGCUCACCAAGCCAACGAUCUGUAGCUGGUCUGAGAGGACGACCAGCCACACUGGGACUGAGACACGGCCCAGACUCCUACGGGAGGCAGCAGUGGGGAAUUUUGGACAAUGGGCGCAAGCCUGAUCCAGCAAUGCCGCGUGCAGGAAGAAGGCCUUCGGGUUGUGAACUGCUUUUGUACGGAACGAAACGGUCCUGGUUAAUACCUGGGGCUAAUGACGGUACCGUAAGAAUAAGCACCGGCUAACUACGUGCCAGCAGCCGCGGUAAAAC